UGUUCUCCAAUCUGUGGACAAAGACCAAGUCUUGCUGGUUUGCUUCUUUUCUUCCUUGGAAUACAGUAGCCCCCAAAAUGAGCAAAACAAAAGGUUGUAAAUCAAAGCUGGAUGGUUUCCCGCAGUAAUGCUUCACUUUUCCCUCAUGGAUACUAUCAACUUUGUAAUUAAGUACAAUUCCCCCUGAUGUUGCAAGCCUAGAGUGUAUCUGAAUUCAUCUUUAGUAGAAGGCAGUGAGAAAAAGGAC